AAUGAAAUGAUUUUAUAAAAUUGUCUUGAAAUUGAAAGAUGGUUUUGAAAAUGGAGUAAUUGGAGACUAAUUGUUGUGUUAUAAAUCAUGGUUUGAAUUGAAUGGCUUAUGAUAAUAUUGACAUGAAUGGUUGAAUUGGUAUUUGUGUUGAAAAUGUAUGAACUGUUGAUUUGCCUUGAGAGGCUGUAAAAUAAAAUAAUUGCCAUGUCAUGCUAUCGCAAAUUUUAUUGUAUGGUGGGCUUAACUUGCUGCAGUGGGCGGGUUCUGUGGAAUAACCUUUUUGAGGGGUACGAAAUCUCGUUAUAUUCAUACCUUGGUUGAGGAGGAGCGUAGGGUAACUCCAGAAGUAAAACUUUAGAGUUCACUUCAUGCCAAACCACCACGUGAGGAUGAAACUCAGCUAACGCCAAGAAACGACUAUGCUUUCAAAAUAAAAACAUGAUUUAUGCGUACAUGACUUUUUAACAGCCUUGGCGAACUCGAUUUGGAUAGCCCCAGGCCAAGGUAUCCCUGAUAACUGAGUAUGAGAAUGAUUUUGGCACGAGCCAAACUUUUCAAGAAAUCAUAAGCCUCGUUGUUUAUUGGGUGAAAUGAAUCUAAUUUAUCUUAUUAAAAUGAGUUCGAAAUGCUGUGAAUAAUUUUUAUGUUAAUCUAUUUUAUCUAUCUCCAUUUACUCAGCUUUAGAUAUUUUAGAUGAUAUUUGUUUACUCACUGAGAUUAUAUAAUCUCACCACCCUCCUUUCCACCCAUUUUAGGUUCAGGAUAGUCGGUAGAUAGGUCAUUUCGUUGAGGGCUACAGUUGGACUUGCAUCCUCAAAAACUGUAGGUUCAUAGCUUUCAUUACUUUUAGUCAUUCGAGGGCCCACAUGUCAUUGUUAAAUGUUUUGAAUACUUGGUUGCGUGUGCUACUUUAUAUAGGAAUUUAUUUUGCUUUUAUGCUGUAAAAA
rnacentral:lncRNA from 1 species